GAUGAACGCUGGCGGCGUGCCUAAUACAUGCAAGUCGAGCGAACGGACGAGAAGCUUGCUUCUCUGAUGUUAGCGGCGGACGGGUGAGUAACACGUGGAUAACCUACCUAUAAGACUGGGAUAACUUCGGGAAACCGGAGCUAAUACCGGAUGAUAUUUUGAACCGCAUGGUUCAAAAGUGAAAGACGGUCUUGCUGUCACUUAUAGAUGGAUCCGCGCUGCAUUAGCUAGUUGGUAAGGUAACGGCUUACCAAGGCAACGAUGCAUAGCCGACCUGAGAGGGUGAUCGGCUACACUGGAAAUGAGACACGGUCCAGACUCCUACGGGAGGCAGCAGUAGGGAAUCUUCCGCAAUGGGCGAAAGCCUGACGGAGCAAAGCCGCGUGAGUGAUGAAGGUCUUCGGAUCGUAAAACUCUGUUAUUAGGGAAGAACAUAUGUGUAAGUAACUGUGCACAUCUUGACGGUACAUAAUCAGAAAGCCACGGCUAACUACGUG
rnacentral:rRNA from 1 species